CGGCAGACUAAAACAUGCAGUCGAGCGGUAGCACAGAGAGCUUGCUCUCGGGUGACGAGCGGCGGACGGGUGAGUAAUGUCUGGGAAACUGCCUGAUGGAGGGGGAUAACUACUGGAAACGGUAGCUAAUACCGCAUAACGUCGCAAGACCAAAGAGGGGGACCUUCGGGCCUCUUGCCAUCAGAUGUGCCCAGAUGGGAUUAGCUAGUAGGUGGGGUAAUGGCUCACCUAGGCGACGAUCCCUAGCUGGUCUGAGAGGAUGACCAGCCACACUGGAACUGAGACACGGUCCAGACUCCUACGGGAGGCAGCAGUGGGGAAUAUUGCACAAUGGGCGCAAGCCUGAUGCAGCCAUGCCGCGUGUAUGAAGAAGGCCUUCGGGUUGUAAAGUACUUUCAGCGAGGAGGAAGGCAUUGUGGUUAAUAACCACAGUGAUUGACGUUACUCGCAGAAGAAGCACCGGCUAACUCCGUGCCAGCAGCCGCGGUAAUACGGAGGGUGCAAGCGUUAAUCGGAAUUACUGGGCGUAAAGCGCACGCAGGCGGUCUGUCAAGUCGGAUGUGAAAUCCCCGGGCUCAACCUGGGAACUGCAUUCGAAACUGGCAGGCUAGAGUCUUGUAGAGGGGGGUAGAAUUCCAGGUGUAGCGGUGAAAUGCGUAGAGAUCUGGAGGAAUACCGGUGGCGAAGGCGGCCCCCUGGACAAAGACUGACGCUCAGGUGCGAAAGCGUGGGGAGCAAACAGGAUUAGAUACCCUGGUAGUCCACGCCGUAAACGAUGUCGACUUGGGAAGGUGUUCCCUUGAGGAAUGGCUUCCGGAGCUAACGCGUUAAGUCGACCGCCUGGGGGAGUACGGCCGCAAGGGUAAAACUCAAAUGAAUUGACGGGGGCCGCACAAGCGGUGGAGCAUGGGGGUUUAAUUCGAUGCAACGCGAAGAACCUUACCUACUCUUGACAUCCACAGAACUUAGCAGAGAUGCUUUGGUGCCUUCGGGAACUCUGAGACAGUGCUGGCAUGGGUGUCGUCAGCUCGUGUUGUGAAAUGUUGGGUA
rnacentral:rRNA from 1 species